CCAGCUUUCCCGGUCUCCAGCUUGCAGAUGGCAGAUCACAGGACUUUUCAGCUUCUGUAAUUGUGGUGUGAUUGCAGACAAGAUAGAAUCAACAAAAAUCGAGAGAACUGCCUACUAUCAAUGAUAUUAAGUUGGAUAAGUAUAUCUAUGCAGAAAAACUUCUCAGACUUUAACUUAAAAGUCGGAUUGUGUAUUUAUUUUAAUUCCAGUCAUGCAGCAUUCAGUCAAGCCUCCCAGAUAGAAAUCAAAAGAUAUAACCAGAACAUUCCAAAGUCAUGCAGCCUUCCAGAGUUAUCUAUAUUAAUAUCUUAAUAAAAUUAACUCAAGCCUCCAUUCCAUGAAACUG